rnacentral:rRNA from 1 species
AUUGAACGCUGGCAGCAGGCCUAACACAUACAAGUCGAACGAGUGGCGGACGGGUGAGUAAUGUCUGGGAAACUGCCCGAUGGAGGGGGAUAACUACUGGAAACGGUAGCUAAUACCGCAUACCAUCGGAUGUGCCCAGAUGGGAUUAGCUAGUAGGUGGGGUAACGGCUCACCUAGGCGACGAUCCCUAGCUGGUCUGCGAGGAUGACCAGCCACACUGGAACUGAGACACGGUACAGACUCCUACGGGAGGCAGCAGUGGGGAAUAUUGCACAAUGGGAGCAAGCCGGAUGCAGCCAUGCCGCGUGUAUGAAGAAGGCCUUCGGGUUGUAAAGUACUUUCAGCGAGGAGGCGUUACUCGCAGAAGAAGCACCGGCUAACUCCGUGCCAGCCGCGGCGGUAAUUC